rnacentral:rRNA from 1 species
AGAGUUUGAUCCUGGCUCAGGAUGAACGCUGGCGGCGUGCCUAAUACAUGCAAGUCGAACGGAGAGCGGGACUUCGGUUUACGCUUUUAGUGGCGAACGGGUGAGUAACGCGUUGGUGACCUGCCCCGAAGAGAGGGACAACCCUGGGAAACUGGGGCUAAUACCUCAUGUGAUCGUGAGAGUUAGAGUACUGACGAUGAAAGGAGCAAUCCACUUCGGGAGGGGCCUGCGUCCCAUCAGCUAGUUGGUAGGGUAAAGGCCUACCAAGGCAAAGACGGGUAGGGGACCUGAGAGGGUGACCCCCCACAAUGGAACUGAAACACGGUCCAUACACCUACGGGUGGCAGCAGUAGGGAAUAUUGCACAAUGGGCGAAAGCCUGAUGCAGCAACGCCGCGUGUGCGAUGAAGGCCUUCGGGUUGUAAAGCACUUUUCGGGGAGAUGAGAAAGGACAGUAUCCCCGGAAUAAGGCUCGGCUAACUACGUGCCAACAGCCGCGGUAAAACGUAGGAGUCAAGCGUUAUCCGAAUUUACUGGGCGUAAAGCGCGUGCAGGCGGCUUGGAAAGUUGGAUGUGAAAGCUCCCGGCUCAACUGGGAGAGGACGUUCAAAACUACCAGGCUAGAGGACGGUAGAGGGAGGUGGAAUUCCCGGUGUAGUGGUGAAAUGCGUAGAUAUCGGGAGGAACACCAGUGGCGAAGGCGGCCUCCUGGGCCGGUCCUGACGCUAAGACGCGAAAGCUAGGGGAGCAAACGGGAUUAGAAACCCCGGUAGUCCUAGCUGUAAACGAUGUAGACUUGGUGUUGGUGGUGUAAGAGCCAUCAGUGCCGAAGCAAACGCGAUAAGUCUACCGCCUGGGGAUUACGGCCGCAAGGCUAAAACUCAAAGGAAUUGACGGGGGCCCGCACAAGCAGCGGAGCGUGUGGUUUAAUUCGACUACGCGAAGAACCUUACCCGGGCUUGACAUACAGGUGGUAGGGAAGUGAAAGCGGACCGACCCUUCGGGGAGCCUGAACAGGUGCUGCAUGGCUGUCGUCAGCUCGUGCCGUGAGGUGUCCGGUUAAGUCCGGUAACGAGCGCAACCCUUGCCGUAUGUUACAAGUGUCAUACGGGACUGCCGGUAUAAAGCCGGAGGAAGGUGGGGAUGACGUCAAGUCAGCAUGGCCUUUAUGUCCGGGGCUACACACACGCUACAAUGGUCGGUACAAUGGGUAGCAAGACCGCGAGGUGGAGCCAAUCCCAAAAGCCGGCCUCAGUUCAGAUUGCAGGCUGCAACCCGCCUGCAUGAAGCCGGAGAUGCUAGUAACCGCGCGUCAGCCACAGUGCGGUGAAUACGUUCCCGGGCCUUGUACACACCGCCCGUCACGUCAUGGGAGCUGGCAACACCUGAAGCCGGUAUCCUAACCGAAAGGAGGGAGCCGUCGAAGGUGGGGUUAGUGACUGGGACGAAGUCGUAACAAGGUA